UGCAGUCGAGCGGUAGAGAGAAGCUUGCUUCUCUUGAGAGCGGCGGACGGGUGAGUAAUACCUAGGAAUCUGCCUGAUAGUGGGGGAUAACGUUCGGAAACGGACGCUAAUACCGCAUACGUCCUACGGGAGAAAGCAGGGGACCUUCGGGCCUUGCGCUAUCAGAUGAGCCUAGGUCGGAUUAGCUAGUUGGUGAGGUAAUGGCUCACCAAGGCUACGAUCCGUAACUGGUCUGAGAGGAUGAUCAGUCACACUGGAACUGAGACACGGUCCAGACUCCUACGGGAGGCAGCAGUGGGGAAUAUUGGACAAUGGGCGAAAGCCUGAUCCAGCCAUGCCGCGUGUGUGAAGAAGGUCUUCGGAUUGUAAAGCACUUUAAGUUGGGAGGAAGGGCAUUAACCUAAUACGUUGGUGUCUUGACGUUACCGACAGAAUAAGCACCGGCUAACUCUGUGCCAGCAGCCGCGGUAAUACAGAGGGUGCAAGCGUUAAUCGGAAUUACUGGGCGUAAAGCGCGCGUAGGUGGUUUGUUAAGUUGAAUGUGAAAUCCCCGGGCUCAACCUGGGAACUGCAUCCAAAACUGGCAAGCUAGAGUAUGGUAGAGGGUAGUGGAAUUUCCUGUGUAGCGGUGAAAUGCGUAGAUAUAGGAAGGAACACCAGUGGCGAAGGCGACUACCUGGACUGAUACUGACACUGAGGUGCGAAAGCGUGGGGGAGCAAACAGGAUUAGAUACCCUGGUAGUCCACGCCGUAAACGAUGUCAACUAGCCGUUGGGAGUCUUGAACUCUUAGUGGCGCAGCUAACGCAUUAAGUUGACCGCCUGGGGAGUACGGCCGCAAGUUAAAACUCAA
rnacentral:rRNA from 1 species